UACAGAGGUCCCAAGCGUUGUUCGGAAUUACUGGGCGUAAAGCGCGCGCAGGCGGCUAUCCAAGUCAGUGGUGAAAGCCCGGAGCUCAACUCCGGAACUGCCAUUGAAACUGUUUAGCUUGAGGACGAGAGAGGUGAGUGGAAUUCCCAGUGUAGAGGUGAAAUUCGUAGAUAUUGGGAAGAACACCGGUGGCGAAGGCGGCUCACUGGCUCGUAUCUGACGCUCAGGCGCGACAGCGUGGGGAUCAAACAGG
rnacentral:rRNA from 1 species